AGAGUUUGAUCCUGGCUCAGAAACGAACGUUAGCGGCGCGCCUAAGACAUGCAAGUCGAGCGAGAAAGGGCUUCGGCCCCAGUACAGCGGCGCACGGGUGAGUAACACGUAGGUCAUCAACCCCCGAGUGGUGGAUAACUCUCCGAAAGGAGAGCUAAUACAGCAUGAUGCCAGCAAUGGCCAAAGCGGGCCUCUCCAUGGAAGCUCGCGCUAGAGGAUGAGCCUGCGGCCCAUCAGGUAGUUGGCGGAGUAAUAGCCCACCAAGCCAUAGACGGGUAGCUGGUCUGAGAGGAUGAACAGCCACACUGGAACUGAGACACGGUCCAGACUCCUACGGGAGGCAGCAGUCGGGAAUCUUCCGCAAUGGGCGAAAGCCUGACGGAGCGACGCCGCGUGAGCGAUGAAGGCCUUCGGGUUGUAAAGCUCUGUGGGGAGGGAAGAAUAAGUUCAAGCGAAUACCUUGAAUGAUGACGGUACCUCCUUAGCAAGCACCGGCUAACUCUGUGCCAGCAGCCGCGGUAAGACAGAGGGUGCAAACGUUGUUCGGAUUUACUGGGCGUAAAGCGCGUGUAGGCGGCUUGGCAAGUUGGAUGUGAAAGCCCACGGCUCAACCGUGGAAGCGCAUCCAAAACUGCUUCGCUCGAGUCUCGGAGAGGGAAGGUGGAAUGCUUGGUGUAAAGGUGAAAUUCGUAGAUAUCAAGCAGAACACCUGCGGGAAGGCGGCUUCUG
rnacentral:rRNA from 1 species